UACAGGAGGGGGCAAGCGUUAUUCGGAAUUAUUGGGCGGUAAAGGGCGCGUGAGGCGGCUUGGCAAGUGGAAGGUGAAAUCCCUCGGCUUAACCGAGGAACUGCCCUCCAAACUGCUUGGCUUGAGACCGGGAGAGGUGAGUGGAAUUCCCAGUGUAGCGGUGAAAUGCGUAGAUAUUGGGAGGAACACCAGUGGCGAAGGCGGCUCACUGGACCGGUACUGACGCGUGAGGCGCGAAAGCGUGGGGAGCAAACGGG
rnacentral:rRNA from 1 species